rnacentral:rRNA from 1 species
CAAGUGGGAGAAGUCCUUAAGAUCGAUUUCGAGAAGGCCUAUGACAAAGUGAACUGGGAGUUCCUACUUGAUUGUCAUGUUAAACGUGGAUUUAAUGCCAAGUGGUGCGGGUGGGUUUCGCAAAUCCUUAAAAAUGGGACAGUAAGUGUGAAGAUCAAUGAUGAGGUGGGACCGUAUAUUCAAAGUGCCAAGGGGGUACUCCAAGGCGACCCACAUUCUCCUUUCUUGUUUAACCUUGCAGCUGAGUGCUUGACUAAGAUGGUACUUGCUGCUCAAAACAAUGAUCUCAUCAAAGGGUUAGCCUCUGACCUGAUUGAGGGAGGGGUGGGUAUCCUCCAAUACGCUGAUGAUACAGUCCUAUGUUUCGAGCAU